UUCCAUUAGAAAGAAAUAACGAUGGACUGAAGCAGAUGUGUAUAUAAGACUCAUUCUCGAGAAAACCCAGCAGAGUGCGAGACUGCUCACACGUGACAAUGAAGCUGCUGUUCGUUCUUUGUCUUCUGGCUUUUGUCCUUGUGGUGUCCACAUGGUCAAGCUGUGAACCACCACCAUGGCAUUGUUCAAAGAAACGAGCACCUGUGUGUGGCAACGAUGGUGUUACUUACAGAAACAUGUGCAUGUUCCAAGCCGUGAAGAAACACUGCAAACCUUAUCUGAAGACGACAAAAAGUGGACCCUGCCCUCGGCGAUCCAUGCGAGGUAAAUCAACCUGGACAAAGACUUGAAGACCGAACCUUUCAGCUCCACCUGUCCGGACUUUGGUGACCGGCUUUACGAUAAGUGACAGGACAAAAAUAAAUCUGGCAUGCUAGAGAAACCCAGAAAA